GUCUACGGGCACACAACCCUGAAAACACCCGAAGUCCGCUGAUCUCGGAAGCUAAGCAGAGUGCGAGCUAGUGAGUUACGUAGAUA
rnacentral:rRNA from 1 species